ACAAGUGAUUUCAAAUUCUGCCAAUAGUUUCCUUUCUCGGUAACAGACUAUUAUACCUGUUCUGUUGUGUUUGCAUCUUGUUGAAGUUUCCACACUGACAUUCCACCAGUAUUCAUUCAAGUUAUGUAUACUUAUGCUGCCCAUAUCACUGGAGUUUCUUAUAUUUUGAUUGCUGGUCGGGACAUCAUAUUUUGCUUUGCAACCAUAAUAUACAACUAAGUAUUUUAAAGGUUUAGGAAUCAAUACUGUCUUUCUUUUCAUGUUAGCAGUGUGAUUUAACCACUUUUAAGUUAUCUCAACAGAUUUUGUAUAGAACUUAGAGCCAUCACUGAAAGUUACAACAUUUCACAUAUAUGUACAAUGCUGUAAGCAAUGUGGUUGAAGAGGGAAAACUAAGGGAUGGGUGUAUAUGCAUAUUUCAGGAGUCAUUGUCCUUUCUUCAGACCACAUCCAACCCAUUAACCACCCAUGAACACAGUGGCUUAAACAGCCACUGUGUUUACUGGUUUAACACUAUUAGAAUUUUCAGUUUUACAUAUCAAACACAUUCCUGGCAACUGGUACAUACAUAUUAAUUACUGAUAGGGACACCGUAUUUUGUGUUUGAUCAACACCGCCUGUGUCUAUUCCUGAGCAUCUUUUACCAGGACAGGGAGAAGCUGUUUCUUAGUUAUUCAGUAUAAAAGCUCAAUAGCAUGAAAAUGGAGACACUAGGAACAAUUUGUUUUAUUUAACCUUUCAGACUGGUGCCCCAGCAUGGCCACAGUCCAAUGAUUGAAACAAGUAAAAAAAAGAUAACAGAUUGUCGAGGAUGUUCCUUCACUGGGCGAGAUACCCCAGUGAAAGGUAGGGUCAACGGUCUAGCGUUAGUGGUGGUCUUGAAGGUAUAUGUUGCAUGCUGUUUGUGCUUAGGAGGAGGAGCAGUGGCAGCAGUGAGGCAUGGUGGUGGUGGUGGUGGUGGUGAUGGUGGUGGUAGUGGCGGUUGUGGUGGUGGUGGUGGCGGUGGCGGCGGUGGUGGUGGUGGUGGCGGCGGCGGCGGCGACGGCGGUGGUGGUGGUGAAGGUGGUGGUGGAUGUUUUCUUGAUAUGCCUAAUGAAUGUUUUGCUAAUCAGGUAAACCUUGGCAGAACAGAUUAACGAUUGCGAUUGUUAAUUAAAAUGUGACUUAGUAACUGCAGCCAGUGCCACCACAGCAGCCACCACCACCACCACCACCACCACUACUACUGCUACUGCUGCUAUCAUCAAUCAUCAUCAUCAUCAUCAUCAUCAUCAUCAUCAUCAUCAUCAUCAUCUCCACUACAAUCAUUCCCAUCAUCACUAUUACUCUCUCCACUGCAAUCGAGAUUAUCAUCACUGCCACCGUAUGUGUGUGUAUGUGUGUGCGUGAGCCUCAAUAUACAUAUGUAUACACACGUGGAAGAUGGAUGUUAAAUGAUAAUGAUAAUGACAUGUAUACACACACACACACAUAUUUAUGUGUGUGUCAUCAUCAACCAAUGCCAGCAUGGAAAGCGGAUAUUGAUGAUGAUUGUCGUCGUCGUCAUUGUCCUCCUCUUCUUCUUCUUCUUCUUCUUCUUCUUCUUCUUCUUCUUCUUCUUCCUCCUCCUCCUCUUCCUCCUCUUCUUCUUCUUCUUCUUCCUCCUCCUCCUCUUCUUCUUCCUCUUCUUCUUCUUCUUCCUCCUCUUCCUCUUCUUCUUCUUCUUCCUCCUCUUCUUCUUCUUCCUCCUCUUCCUCUUCUUCUUCUUUCUCCUCCUCCUCUUCUUCUUCCUCCUCUUCUUCUUCCUCCUCUUCUUCUUCUUUCUCCUCCUCUUCUUCUUCUUCCUCCUCCUCUUCUUCUUCCUCCUCCUCCUCCUCAUCAUCAUCAUCCCACCAUCACCACCACCACCACCACCACAACAACAUCAACCACCCUUCCUCUUCCACCUCCUCCUCCUGACUUCCGCUUCUGAUUCCACAAGAAUUAACCCCACCCCCAACCACCCCAACCAACCACCCACACGUGUCCACCCCUCCCCCUCCCCCCUCCCACCACCACCAUUACUGCCAACAUGAUAGAUGUUAUGCACGCAACAUUUCGUCCGUUCCCCGCUUUCACCAUUGGUCCCUUUCCGGACAAGGUCACCCCGGCUUCAUUAAAUCCAAUACCGCCAUCCUUCCAGAUAAUUCUGUCGACACAUAUAAGGUUACGUAGGUUUGAGGUAUUGCGAUUCUAAAACGACUGGUCAUCUCCCUCUCUCCCUCCCUCCCCCUCCCUCUCUCCCUCCCUCCCCCCUCUCUCUCUCUCUCCCUCUCUCCAUGUAUUUGGUCAUCUCAAAGCUUGUCUGAUGAAAGUUAAUCUUCUCUCAAUGGAAAAAAUGCUAUCGGCUGACAAAGACUGAGUCAGUGCAAUUAGACGUUCUAAUUAACAUCCUGAUAAUCGUCACCACCAUGACUACCACCACCAACACUACCACCACCACCACCAUUAUCAACAUUAGCAUCACUAUAGCUACUGUUAUCAUCUUCAUCAUCAUCAUCACCAUCAUCACCACCAUCACCAUCAACAUCAUCACCAUCAACAUUAGCUUCAUUGUAACUACUAUUACCAUCAUCAUCAUCAUCAUCAUCAACAUUACCAUCAUCAUCAUCGUUGUCUUCACUACAUACAACCUUGUCAUCACUAUACUCUCCAGCAUCUUCAUCAUCAUCCAUCACCAUCACCACAAACAACAACAAUACCACCAUGACGAUUAUUACUUCUACCACCACCACCACAUCAUCAUCAUCAUCAUCACUGCCAUUACCACCAACAACAAUAUCAUGAUGAACAUUACCAUCAUCAUAACCAGCACUACCACCACCACCACCAUCACCACUGCAAUCAUCACCACCACUAUCAACAACAUCAGCCACCACCACCACUAACACCACCACCACCACCACCAACAGCAUCAUCAUCAUCAUCAUCAUCACAAUCAGUAUCAUUAUCAUCACCACCACUACCACCAUCACUGUCAUCAUCAUCACCAUCAUCAUCGUAAUCGUCAUCAUCAUCACCAUCAUCAUCAUCAUCAUCAUCAUAUUUGACUCCAUGUCACCCAAGCUAGGUUUUCUUUUUCUUUCUUUUGUUUUUUUUCUUCAUUUUUCUGUAUUACCAAGAGACAAAUCUGUUCCACUCUGCUGCACAUGGUAACCAUGGCGAUAAACAAGGAAUUGUAUGUUUGCAUGGAGCACAUUGUAUAACAGGAGGAAAUAUGUAUUGGAAUUUGUGCCUGCAUACAUGUGUAUAUAGGUAGGUGUGUGUGUGUGUGUGUGCGUGCGUGUGUGUGUGUGUGUGUGUGUUAUAGGCACAGGAGUGGCCAUGCGGUAAGAAGCUUACUUCCCAACCACAUGGUUCCAGGUUCAGUCCCACUGCGUGGUACCUUGUGCAAGUGUCUUCUAUUGUAGCCUUUGGCUAACCAAAGCCUUGUGAGUGGCCCAAGAGAAAAGCUGAGAGAAAACUGAAGAAAACUGAGAGAAGCCCAUCGUAUAUAUGUAUAUAUUUGUGUUUGUCCCCCCACCAUCGCUUGGCAACCGAUGUUUGAGUGUUUAUGUCCCUGUAACUUAGUGGUACGGCAAAAGAGACUGAUAGGAUAAGUACUGGGCUUACAAAGAGUAAGUCCUGGGGUUUAUUUGUUUGACAAAAGGCAGUGCUCCAGUAUGGCCACAAUCAAAUGACUAAAACAAAUAAAAGAAUAAAAAGAAUAAAAGGAUAUCAGAUAUUUGUGUUUACAUUUUUUGGUUUUGUUUUAACUUUUGCUUGUUUUGGCCAUUGGACUGUGACCAUGCUGGGGCACCAUCCUGAAGGGCUUAAUCCAGCGGUUUCUAAAUUGGGCAGUGCAAAGAUCCAGGGACAGGAGUGCUGAAGAAAAGUGGGGCAAUAAUGGAGUGGCCAAAAGGGGGCAAAGGAUGUAAAAAAAAAUCCUCAAAUAAUGGGUUGAUUAUGUUAAGUUUUAUUUGUGAAACACACAUUUUGAAUUUGCAGUAGUGAGUUGGGGGAGGGCCUAGGAGUGUGGCCUGGGUGGCAAGGGGUUGGUAGUUUGGAAAACUUUGGGAAUCAUUGGUUUAGUCAAACCAAUCAACCACAUCAAUUAUUUUCUUUUAAGUCUGGUUUUCCUUCUAUUGGCACCUUUCACCAAAAAAGGAGAAAAAAAUGCUAUUGAAUGCUAUUAGGAGGACAUAGAAGAAAAACAGCCAUCUUUGGUUUCAAGAUGAAAAGUGUUCUUCCAUCAGGAUAAUCCUCGGCUACAUACAGCAAGGAUGACAUUCCAAAGGCUGGAGCAAUUUGAAUGGGAAAUGGUACCCCAUUCCUCAUAUUCAUUGGACAUUGCCCCAUCUGAUUAUCAUUUAUUCUGCAGUCUUCAAAAUCAUUUGAAUGGAAAAAAUAUGAACCCUGUAGACAAGGUCAGACCAGUACUGAAGGAGUAUUUUUCAUCACAGACAGGUGAAUUUUGAAAGAGGGACCUUGCAAGUCUACCAGCUAGAUGGGAGAGCAUUGUAGAAAAUGAAGGAGAGUAUAUUUUAGAUUAAAAAAGAACUUUAUUUAUCUUAAUCUUGAAAAAUAAAAGAAGUAUAAAAAACUGCAUUAUUUAUAGGAUGAUCCAUUAUAUAGCAGUAUUUUAUCUGCCGCUACGUUCUGAGUUCAAAUUCUGCCGAGGUCGACUUUGCCUUUCAUCCUUUUGGGGUCGAUUAAAUAAGUACCAGUUAUGCACUGGGGUCGAUAUAAUCGACUUAAUCCGUUUGUCCUCUCUGUGUUUAACCCCUUGUGGGUAGUAAAGAAAUAGGUAUUUCAUCUGUCUUUAUGUUCUGAAUUCAAAUUCCUCCGAGGUCAACUUUACCUUUCAUUCCUUUGGGGGGUCAAUAAAUUAAGUACCAGUUGCGUACCAGGGUCGAUCUAAUCGACUGGCCCCCUCCUCAAAAAUUUUGGGUCUUGUGCCUAUAAUAGAAAAGAAUUAGGAGACCAGAAGUUGGGGUUGCUGA
rnacentral:lncRNA from 1 species